AAAUCUGUUUUCAAGAUAAACUUUACCUAUUUUGUGGUUACCAUGGACCAACUAGGGUUUUGCCAUACAUAGGUCCACAUGUGAUCAUAUUUAGCCAUUCCAAUGGCUGAUCAUUAGCCCAACACUUCCAUUUCAAUCCAUAGUCACAUCGUGAAACCAUAUAUAUACAUACAUAAACACAAAUGGUCUAAUGCCAUACUCCACAUCUACAAGCCAUUUUCGCAUGGCUUUACACACAUACAUCACCAAAGAACUUAAACAACAGGGGGUAGUCCUAUACAUGCCAUAUCCAGAGUUCAACUAAAAGAGUACCAAAAGAGCUUGAUAGUGUAGAUGACUUCGACUUCGCUGAUCCCGAAUCCGAUAGCUAACGAACAAAAUCUAUAAAACAGAGAGCCAAAGCAACCGGGUAAGCAUUUUAAGCUUAGUAAGUCUCAAGUAAUGAAAUCGGCUUUGACUACAGUAUUACAUUCACAUAACUAACUAAGUCACUUUAUUAACACACAUUCUCAUAAUCAUACUUACUUCACACUCCAUCAACAUAUAUACACAAAGUAUCAACCUUUCUAAAAGCCGAAAAUUCGUUAGCCGAUCGCACGAAUACUAUUUAAAACGAAUCGACUUUUCCAAUGCACAUGCAACACACCUUAUCGUUCGGGUUGGUCGAGCAUAUUUAUUGAAUUAGUUACAGCACAAAACGCUCACAUUCAAACCCAAGUUUCUUCGGUAUUUAACCGAAUACAACCGCAAACACCUUUGCCUUCGGGUCUUAACCCGGACAUAUCAACUUGCAUAAUUGCCUUCGGGUCUUAGCCCGGAUAUAUCAUCUCGCAUAAUUGCCUUCGGGUCAUAGCCCGGACAUAUCAACUUGCAUAAUUGCCUUCGGGUCUUAGCCCGGAUAUAUCAUCUCGCAUAAUUGCCUUCGGGUCAUAGCCCGACAUAUUAACUCGCAUAAUUGCCUUCGGGUCUUAGCCCGGAUAUAUCAACUCGCAUAAUUGCCUUCGGGUCUUAGCCGGAUAUAUUAACUCGCAUAAUUGCCUUCGGGUCUUAGCCCGGAUAUAUCAACUCGCAUAAUUGCCUUCGGGUCUUAGCCCGGAUAUAUUAACUCGCAUAAUUGCCUUCGGGUCUUAGCCCGGAUAUAUCAACUCGCAUAAUUGCCUUCGGGUCUUAGCCCGGAUAUAUUCCAAUGCUCAUGCACACAUAUAUCAAUAAUCAUAACACAUCCAUUUCAUUUCUUCGUUACUAAGGCUCAAACACAAAACAUUUAUUAAACCUUUCAAAUUUCGGCUCAGUAGCCGCACACAAAGAGCAUAAUUUCAAUUGGCUUUAUAACAUAGUCUCUAAGCACAUUCGACUAUCCGUCAUAGUAUGACUAUUCAUUUCAAUAUAAUUCAAGUAGGGUCAUUACUCGAAGACUUACCUCAAAUGUCGUCGAACGACUUCAACGGCUAUUCAAUUACUUUUUCCUUCCCUUUAUCGGAUCUAGUUCCCCUUUGCUCUUG
rnacentral:lncRNA from 1 species